rnacentral:rRNA from 1 species
AUUGAACGCUGGCGGCAGGCUUAACACAUGCAAGUCGAACGAGUGGCGGACGGGUGAGUAAUGUUUGGGAAUCUAGCUUAUGGAGGGGGAUAACUACGGGAAACUGUAGCUAAUACCGCGUACCAUCGGGUGAGCCCAAGUGGGAUUAGGUCGUUGGUGAGGUAAAGGCUCACCAAGCCGACGAUCCCUAGCUGGUCUGAGAGGAUGACCAGCCACACUGGAAAUGAGACACGGCCCAGACUCCUACGGGAGGCAGCAGUGGGGAAUAUUGCGCAAUGGGGGCAAGCUGAUGCAGCCAUGCCGCGUGAAUGAAGAAGGCCUUCGGGUUGUAAAGUUCUUUCAGUAGCGAGGCGUUACCUACAGAAGAAGCACCGGCUAACUCCGUGCCAGCAGCCGCGGUAAUUC